rnacentral:rRNA from 1 species
CGUACACAAAAAUGCACAUGCUGUGAGCUCGAUGAGUAGGGCGGGACACGUGGUAUCCUGUCUGAAUAUGGGGGGACCAUCCUCCAAGGCUAAAUACUCCUGACUGACCGAUAGUGAACCAGUACCGUGAGGGAAAGGCGAAAAGAACCCCGGCGAGGGGAGUGAAAAAGAACCUGAAACCGUGUACGUACAAGCAGUGGGAGCACGCUUAGGCGUGUGACUGCGUACCUUUUGUAUAAUGGGUCAGCGACUUAUAUUCUGUAGCAAGGUUAACCGAAUAGGGGAGCCGAAGGGAAACCGAGUCUUAACUGGGCGUUAAGUUGCAGGGUAUAGACCCGAAACCCGGUGAUCUAGCCAUGGGCAGGUUGAAGGUUGGGUAACACUAACUGGAGGACCGAACCGACUAAUGUUGAAAAAUUAGCGGAUGACUUGUGGCUGGGGGUGAAAGGCCAAUCAAACCGGGAGAUAGCUGGUUCUCCCCGAAAGCU